rnacentral:rRNA from 1 species
UACGUAGGGGGCAAGCGUUGUCCGGAAUCAUUGGGCGUAAAGCGCGUGUAGGCGGCUCGGUAAGUCCGCUCUGAAAGCCCGGGGCUCAGCCCCGGGAGGCGGGUGGAUACUGCUGAGCUCGAGUCCGGAAGAGGAGUGUGGAAUUCCUGGUGUAGCGGUGAAAUGCGCAGAUAUCAGGAGGAACACCAAUGGCGAAGGCAGCACUCUGGGACGGUACUGACGCUGAGACGCGAAAGCAUGGGGAGCGAACAGG